GACGGAGGGGGCAAGCGUUGUCCGGAAUUACUGGGCGUAAAGCGCUCGUAGGCGGUCGCAUACGGCGGUGGUGAAAGCUCCCGGCUCAACUGGGAGAGGCCCGCCGCAACGGUGCGACUCGAGGGUGGUAGAGGCAGAUGGAAUUCCUGGUGUAGCGGUGAAAUGCGUAGAGAUCAGGAGGAACACCAAUGGCGAAGGCAGUCUGCUGGGCCACACCUGACGCUGAGGAGCGAAAGCCAGGGGAGCGAACGGG
rnacentral:rRNA from 1 species